UCGCUCCAUAAAAAUUAGGACUGUCAAAAUGGUUUACGAUGGGGGUGAAACAAAUAGAUAAGA
rnacentral:sRNA from 1 species